rnacentral:rRNA from 1 species
GGCAACAGCUCAAAUUUGAAAUCUGGCUUCUUCGGGGCCCGAGUUGUAAUUUGCAGAGGGUGCUUUGGCGAUGGCCGCGGCCUAGGUUCCUUGGAACAGGACGUCGCAGAGGGUGAGAACCCCGUACGCGGCCGCGCGCCUCCGCCGUGUAAAGCCCCUUCGACGAGUCGAGUUGUUUGGGAAUGCAGCUCUAAAUGGGAGGUAAAUUUCUUCUAAAGCUAAAUACCGGGCGUACACCGAUAGCGCACAAGUAGAAUGAUCGAAAGAUGAAAAGCACUUUGGAAAGAGAGUCAAACAGCACGUGAAAUUGUUGAUAGGGAAGCGCUUGCCGCCAGACGCGCCCGCAGUUGCUCAGCCGAGCCCUCGCUCGGCGCACUCUUCUGCGGGCGGGCCAGCAUCAGUUCGGGCGGCGGGAGAAAGGCCCGCGGCACGUACCACCCCUUCGGGGGAGGACUUAUAGGGUGGGCGUCCUACCGCCAGCCCGGACUGAGGACCGCGCAUAUGCUAGGAUGCUGGCGUAAUGGCUGCAAGCGGCCCGUCUUGAAACACGGACCAAGGAGUCUAACAUCUAUGCGAGUGUUUGGGUGUCAAGCCCGGGCGCGCAAUGAAAGUGAACGGAGGUGGGAGCCCCUCGGGGCGCACCAUCGACCGAUCCUGAUGUCUUCGGAUGGAUUUGAGUACGAGCAUAGCUGUUGGGACCCGAAAGAUGGUGAACUAUGCCUGAAUAGGGUGAAGCCAGGAGAAAUUCUGGUGGAGGC